rnacentral:rRNA from 1 species
GAUGAACGCUGGCGGCGUGCCUAACACAUGCAAGUCGAGCGAGGGUUUGCUCAGUAUUGAGUAUUCUAAGACUAGAAUGUUCAAUUCUGAGCAAAACCAAGCGGCGGACGGGUGAGUAACGCGUGGGUAACCUGCCCUAUACACAUGGAUAACAUACUGAAAAGUUUACUAAUACAUGAUAAUAUAUAUUUGCGGCAUCGCAGAUAUAUCAAAGUGUUAGCGGUAUAGGAUGGACCCGCGUCUGAUUAGCUAGUUGGUGAGAUAACUGCCCACCAAGGCGACGAUCAGUAGCCGACCUGAGAGGGUGAUCGGCCACAUUGGAACUGAGACACGGUCCAAACUCCUACGGGAGGCAGCAGUGGGGAAUAUUGCACAAUGGGCGAAAGCCUGAUGCAGCAACGCCGCGUGAACGAUGAAGGUCUUCGGAUCGUAAAGUUCUGUUGCAGGGGAAGAUAAUGACGGUACCCUGUGAGGAAGCCCCGGCUAACUACGUGCCAGCAGCCGCGGUAAUACGUAGGGGGCUAGCGUUAUCCGGAUUUACUGGGCGUAAAGGGUGCGUAGGUGGUCCUUCAAGUCGGUGGUUAAAGGCUACGGCUCAACCGUAGUAAGCCGCCGAAACUGGAGGACUUGAGUGCAGGAGAGGAAAGUGGAAUUCCCAGUGUAGCGGUGAAAUGCGUAGAUAUUGGGAGGAACACCAGUAGCGAAGGCGGCUUUCUGGACUGCAACUGACACUGAGGCACGAAAACGUGGGUAGCAAACAGG